UACGUAGGUGGCAAGCGUUGUCCGGAAUUAUUGGGCGUAAGCGCGCGCAGGCGGUCCUUUAAGUCUGAUGUGAAAGCCCACGGCUCAACCGUGGAGGGUCAUUGGAAACUGGGGGACUUGAGUGCAGAAGAGAAAAGCGGAAUUCCACGUGUAGCGGUGAAAUGCGUAGGAGAAUGUGGAGGAACACCAGUGGCGAAGGCGGCUUUUUGGUCUGUAA
rnacentral:rRNA from 1 species